CAGGUGUCUCAUUAACCCCUCCCAGCCUUUCCAGGUGUCUCAUUACCCCCUCCCAGUGUCUCAUUACCCCUCCUAGUGUCUUAUGACAAAAGUAUGACAGCAGAGGAGGGCUGACAAAUGUAGCAGGGCGGCAAUUGCAUCUUACAGCUUACAGAAGAAUUCGACCCAAUUCAAAUCUCUUUGUACAGUUAGGAUCCAUAUUUAAAAAGGCACACGCAC